rnacentral:rRNA from 1 species
GACGAACGCUGGCGGCGUGCUUAACACAUGCAAGUCGAACGAAGUGGCGAACGGGUGAGUAACGCGUAAUCAACCUGCCCUUCAGAGGGGGACAACAGUUGGAAACGACUGCUAAUACCGCAUACUGAAGGAGGGGAUUGCGGCUGAUUAGCUAGUUGGAGGGGUAACGGCCCACCAAGGCGAUGAUCAGUAGCCGGGCUGAGAGGAUGAACGGCCACAGUGGGACUGAGACACGGCCCAGACUCCUACGGGUGGCAGCAGUGGGGAAGCUUCCGCAAUGGACGAAAGUCUGACGGAGCAACUCCGCGUGAGGGAUGACGGCCUUCGGGUUGUAAAGCUCUGUUAAUCGGGACGCGGUACCGGAAUAGAAAGCCACGGCUAACUACGUGCCAGCAGCCGCGGUAAUUC